UACGUAGGGUGCGAGCGUUGUCCGGAAUUAUUGGGCGUAAAGAGCUCGUAGGCGGUGUGUCACGUCGGCCGUGAAAACCUGCAGCUUAACUGUGGGCGUGCGGUCGAUACGGGCAUCACUGGAGUUCGGCAGGGGAGACUGGAAUUCCUGGUGUAGCGGUGAAAUGCGUAGAUAUCAGUCGGAACACCGGUGGCGAAGGCGGCUUCUUGGGCCGUACCUGACGCUGAGGCGCGAAAGCCAGGGGAGCGAACGGG
rnacentral:rRNA from 1 species